AAUAGAUACCCCGGUAGUCCACGCCGUAAACGAUGUCGACUUGGAGGUUGUUCCCUUGAGGAGUGGCUUCCGGAGCUAACGCGUUAAGUCGACCGCCUGGGGAGUACGGCCGCAAGGUUAAAACUCAAAUGAAUUGACGGGGGCCCGCACAAGCGGUGGAGCAUGUGGUUUAAUUCGAUGCAACGCGAAGAACCUUACCUACUCUUGACAUCCAGAGAACUUAGCAGAGAUGCUUUGGUGCCUUCGGGAACUCUGAGACAGGUGCUGCAUGGCUGUCGUCAGCUCGUGUUGUGAAAUGUUGGGUUAAGUCCCGCAACGAGCGCAACCCUUAUCCUUUGUUGCCAGCGGUCCGGCCGGGAACUCAAAGGAGACUGCCAGUGAUAAACUGGAGGAAGGUGGGGAUGACGUCAAGUCAUCAUGGCCCUUACGAGUAGGGCUACACACGUGCUACAAUGGCGCAUACAAAGAGAAGCGACCUCGCGAGAGCAAGCGGACCUCAUAAAGUGCGUCGUAGUCCGGAUUGGAGUCUGCAAC
rnacentral:rRNA from 1 species